AGCUAUACUCAACAAUAAUAAUAUUGACCUGAUAAGCACAAUAUAUAAAUUGGCAACGGAGUUAUUAGGAGAUGUCUUCGACUGUUUGUCUAAAAUACAACCUACUGCUUUCUACGCUUUGAAACGACCAAUCAAUUUAAUAAAAAUCUAAAAAUGUCAAAGCUCUUUGCGUUUAUUGUUUUGAUUGCUUUUCUGGCAGAUAUAUUGAUUUCUUCAUCUGUAAUGGGUUGUAAAGAAGCAGGCGACGAAUGCACUUAAGCAAAUGACUGCUGCGGAAAACUGGUGUGCAAGUUUUAGGAAUAUGACUUUACUGCCUCAAUCCGUAAUUUCUUACCACAUAUUGACGUUACUAAUAUAAUUAGUCACUGCAUAUUUUACUAAUUAUCUACAUGUAACAACAAAAAUAAUUAAUAAAACAAUAUGUGAACAAA